CAAUGUGUGGCAUACGGCUCAGUAACACGUAGUCAACAUGCCCAGGGGACGUGGAUAACCUCGGGAAACUGAGGAUAAACCGCGAUAGGUCACUACUUCUGGAAUGGGUAAUGACCCAAACCUAUAUGGCCCCUGGAUUGGACUGCGGCCGAUCAGGCUGUUGGUGAGGUAAUGGCCCACCAAACCUGUAACCGGUACGGGCUCUGAGAGGAGGAGCCCGGAGAUGGGCACUGAGACAAGGGCCCAGGCCCUAUGGGGCGCAGCUGGCGCGAAACCUCUGCAAUAGGCGAAAGCUUGACAGGGUUACUCUGAGUGAUUUCCGUUAAGGAGAUCUUUUGGCACCUCUAAAAAUGGUGCAGAAUAAGGGGUGGGCAAGUCUGGUGUCAGCCGCCGCGGUAAUACCAGCACCCCGAGUGGUCGGGACGUUUAUUGGGCCUAAAGCAUCCGUAGCCGGUUCUACAAGUCUUCCGUUAAAUCCACCUGCUCAACAGAUGGGCUGCGGAAGAUACUAUGGAGCUAGGAGGCGGGAGAGGCAAGCGGUACUCGAUGGGUAGGGGUAAAAUCCGUUGAUCCAUUGAAGACCACCAGUGGCGAAGGCGGCUUGCCAGAACGCGCUCGACGGUGAGGGAUGAAAGCUGGGGGAGCAAACCGGAUUAGAUACCCGGGUAGUCCCAGCUGUAAACGAUGCAGACUCGGUGAUGAGUUGGCUUUAUGCCAACUCAGUGCCGCAGGGAAGCCGUUAAGUUUGCCGCCUGGGGAGUACGGUCGCAAGACUGAAACUUAAAGGAAUUGGCGGGGGAGCACCACAAGGGGUGAAGCCUGCGGUUCAAUUGGAUUCAACGCCGG
rnacentral:rRNA from 1 species